rnacentral:tRNA from 2 species
GGGGCCGUGGUCUAGUGGCAUGACGCCGCCCUUACACGGCGGAGGUCGUGGGUUCGAUUCCCACCGGCCCCA